rnacentral:lncRNA from 1 species
GUCACAGCAAGCUAACUGUAAUACAAUUCUGUUCUCAUUGCCACUCCUGUGCUCUGAGCCAUCUGCGCCUUCUCACUGCCAGCUGGAUAGCUUCAGCUGGGAAGCCAGGUGAACCAUCUCCACCUGCUUGGCAAGGUUCUCUCCAUCCGCUGCUGAGGUGGAGGCAUUUCCUUGUUUGCAUGCCUGGCACCACCCUUCCCUCUUGGCUUCUCCUACCACCUCCUUGACCACGCCUUGCCUAUUUCUCUUUAUCCAGAUCCUCCCCGGUCCAACUUGACACCGUGCUGCCUUUGAUGACCACCCCAGUCCUUCCCAGUCUCCUUUCUUUCUCCUGGAAUCUCUGUGUGUGCAUAACAUGUGGAUACUUGAGCUGUGACCUGUUGCAUCCAACAGCUGAGAUGUACCACUCUCCAAACUCAGCACUGUGAGGAAGUACCGCUUAAGACCGACCCGAGAAGCUCUGGGACAGAGGUCCCAAGGUCAUGGCUCACAUCAAGGUUAAAUGCCAGGUCCCUCUCUUAGUCCUUUCAGCAACAGAGUCCAGGGCAAACCCUCCACAGACGUCACAGCUGUGAUUUUACUGAAAUUUUAACAAAGCGGCAGCCUGCACUGGAGAAUGUCAGCAUGAGAAAAGGGAC